AGCGGCUGCUGGGUGUUUGGUCUUUUUCUAUCUUGUUAGUUAUAAUUUGCCCCAGCUGCCUAUGCAUGCAGUUAUUUUUAGUGCUUUAUAGUUUCUUUAUAUUCUGCUGCUGGAGGAGACGUUUGUCCAGUCCUGCAAGCACUGCAGCCAAGGAUCCCAGGUCCCGGGCCCCAGCCUGUCUCACCUUCACACCGUCGUAAGGUCGAAAAAUCGAGGCCUAAAUAGCAUAUUUCUAUCUACUGUAUAUAUUGCCCAGGACAUAGUUUGGAUUAUUGCUGAAGUCACAAAGCAUCGCGGUGUUUGAGUUCAGAAUGUUUCCUGUGCUUUUAUCCUCCCUGAAGUACAUCAAACAGAAAUGAUAAAGAAAGACUCUCCAGCAUCGCUCAAAGCUGCUGGAAUAUCGACUAAGAAAUUUUGGGCUACUAAAGAUGGCUUCCCCAGUUUUGGAAAAGAAAAAGUAAUUUGGGAUAAGUCAAGAUAAGCAUCUAGCCUUGGUAGAAAUCUACACGAACCAAAAUACCAACUUCUAGGAACCUUACACUUUGAGAAUCAUACCAUCUUAGCCAGCAGAUUCCUACUUGUUGAAUACAGCUCGGUGAAGAAGCAACCAUUAUGUCUGUGAGAACUGAGAAAAGAAAGUUUCAUAAAUUUAAAGUGAUUGGUCAGGGUGGAGUAUAAACUAUCUAAAAGAGAAAGUGAAAUUUAAAAAAGUCUGCACCCUCCUA